rnacentral:misc_RNA from 1 species
AACUAUCAAUACAUUAAAAAAAUUCGUCGAAAAAAAAAUCGUUGAUUUAACUCGAAUUGACCUACAUAUGUGCGUGUUAAUAUUAGGUCAGCCCAAACUGACAUAAAUGGAAAUGUGUUGCAUUUUCAAGAAGCUAUAAGAAAUAAAUUGAUGGUUACGAUAUAAAAGGAAUGAUAAAAUUUUCUGGAAAUGGAUUCUCAAUACAUAUCGAAAAGUUCGAGGAGUCAAAAUCCUAAAUGGGUCUGUCCAAGUGAUCGUCAAUUGGCACUACGAGCAAAAUUGAAAACUGGAUGGUCAGUAAAAAGCUUAACUCUAGACGGUGGAUAUAAUGAUUACGCUUGUCAUUCGUCUUGUCCUUCACUUAAUAAUGGAUCUCAAACCUCAUCAACCGCUUUGACAUCAGAGGAACAAAAACGAAUAAUCGAGGUUAUUAAGCGAGCAGAAGUUUUGGAUUUAUCAGAACAAGAACGAGUUGGCAAACUAGUUGAACGUCUUGAUAAUAUGAAGCGCAAUGUUACAGUUGUUAAUACAACAAGAUCAAGUGAUAAGAGUUGCGGAAACAGAUGCAUACGUAGCAAAAGAUGUGUUUGUUCUUGUGCUCUAUGUGGCGAAAAAUUUACUGUCCUUGGAGGUGGAUCCAUUUUAUGCAAAGAUUGUUGCAAAUACGUUUGCAAAAAAUGUGGAGUUGAGACAACAAUAUCAACAGUAGUAAUUAACAAUAAAUCACGGAUAAAAAACAAGAAAUUUUUUACCGCUUCUUCAAUAUCUGAUAUUUCAAUGAUUGAAACAGAAAAUGAUGAGCCAAUUAAAGUAUCUACUAAAAUUUUUUUAUGUCGUAUUUGUACAGAAACACGAGAAAUGUGGAAAAAAAGUGGUGCUUGGUUCUUCAAAAGCUUGCCCAAAUAUAUUUUACCAGAAAAAAAGAAAACUCAGAGUGAGAUUAAAAGCACGUGUAAAAUUUUAAGUAACUCUACUGAACUGAUCGAACAAGAUUCAUCCUCAGACGAGGAUUCUACUCACAAUUCUACUCAACCAAAUUUAUUCCUUUCACAUAGUUUGUCUUCAAAUCUUCCCGAUUUAUCUCGAAGCCAAAAUUUUGAUACCAAAGUAGAUAUUGAGAUUCAGCGCAAAAGUGCUACAGCUCUUACUGAGAUUGAUAGAAUGAAGAGUAGUAGUCCACAUAAAUUACAAUUUCAUUUGUCGCCUCAUAACCAAUUAAGUGAACCGUCUAUUUCUUCAUCUUCAACUUUACUUUCAUCUCCUGUAUCAUCAGCAUCUCUUUUAUCACUGACAAAAUCAACAAAUCGUUUGUCAAAACAAAAAGAAAAAUCCCUUUCAAGUAGCAAAAAUUCAAUUUUUUAUACAAAUCUUUCAUCUAAUAGCAGUGAAUCAAUUGACAGUGAAUCAUUAUACAAGAAUGAUAUCUCUUCCAAGUCACCUGUAAAUAGUAAAAAAUCAAAAAAAAAAUCUAAUCGCAGAAAAUUUUUUAAUGACAAAAAAGACUUAAGCGAUUAGUCUGUUAUCGAUCUUUUCAGUUAAUUUUCUAGAUAGGAAUAAAAUGAAUCUCCAAGGCAGAGGUAAUUUAUUUACAAAUUUCAGGAGAGACGUUUUUAAAAGCAAGAAUAUGGUCUACAGUGAUUUUAAACAACAAAGUUGUAAACAGCUUCAAAAAUAAAUUUUUUAUGCAUACUUAUGUUAUACUUUCAAAUGAAUGAUAAAAAUAAAUGUAAUUUGAAAUUUGAAAUUACGUUGGUUCUCAAAU